rnacentral:rRNA from 1 species
GCACAAGCGGUGGAGCAUGUGGUUUAAUUCGAUGAUACGCGAGGAACCUUACCUGGGCUCAAAUGUAUGUUGACGUAUUCUGAAAGGGAUACUUCUUCGGACAAUAUACAAGGUGCUGCAUGGUUGUCGUCAGCUCGUGCCGUGAGGUGUCGGGUUAAGUCCCAUAACGAGCGCAACCCCUAUCAUUAGUUGCCAUCAGGUCAAGCUGGGGACUCUAAUGAAACUGCCUACGCAAGUAGUGAGGAAGGUGGGGAUGACGUCAAAUCAGCACGGCCCUUACGUCCAGGGCUACACACGUGCUACAAUGGCCGGUACAGAGCGCAGCGAGGCCGCGAGGCGGAGCGAAUCGCUUAAAGCCGGUCCCAGUACGGAUUGGAGUCUGCAACCCGACUCCAUGAAGUUGGAAUCGCUAGUAAUCGCGCAUCAGCAUGGCGCGGUGAAUACGUUCCCGGGCCUU